UUUCUCCCUUGAACUUGGGCAGGACCACACUCCUCUGCUGCAGAAAUGCCCCCAAGAUUAGCCUAAGUAGCAUUUGCAGCUCUUGACCAAGGAUUUCAGGGACGCAGUCUGUGUACUUCCCUCCAUUCCUCCUGUGUCCAGGGCAGCCUGUAUUUGGUAAUUGUGGAAUCUCUCCUCGUGAGCUCCACCUGGACCUCAGCACUCCUUGCUUGAUGAAGGCUGCCCUUCCUCAUAAAGUCCAUUUGCAUCCCUGGCAGGAGAUGCUGCUGCUGUGUCCUCAGAGUUCCAUGGAGUGAGUCUGUUCUACCUCCCCUGUCUUGUCCAGGGGCCUUACUUGUGGCUGACCCUUUCCACAUUGUAAGCCAGUGCGUACCCUAGUCCUGGAACCGAUGGCAAUAAAGUUUGCUAGAUGAGGCAGCACAGCCGCCAACAGA